UAAGCCCAACAUGAAUUCUGGAAAUUUCGAGGGAGUUAAGGCGCACUACAACCCAGCAUUUAAAGGACCGGAGGGAGUUAAAGUUCCAAUGACCGAUGGCGUCUUGGAUCCCAGAAAGUAUUUUGCGGUGAUUUUCAAGGAAAAUUUGCACUCAAACUAGCAAGGUAUUUCGGUCAAACGAUCUAUGGAGACUUUGGGUGCGGGUACCUUAGGCCCUAAAGAUAGGAAAAAUAGCGGCAAAGACAACAUCGGUCAUGGUGGUGGAAAGCCUUCUAAUACCCUACGGGGUUGGGAGAGUCGCUUUAAAUUCUCUGGGAACUUUCAGAUUCCAUUAGCAGAAUCCAUUAAGGCGGAGGUGGAGCUCCUUUCUAUUCAGGCGUCUAGUGAAGCAGUGAAUAAUGCCUAGAAAGUAGCAGCUUCGACUGUGGAUGGGGUUACUAUCUCUCGACAAUAAUGGAGCAGGCUGAUUUUAUUACAAGUAAAAACAUCACCGAUAACAUUAUUAUCGCACAAGUGGUAAUUUAUUCCAUGAGAGGUCAGAACAAAAGGAAAUGGAUGACGAUUAAAAUAGAUUUGGAGAAAGCUUACAAUAGAGUUAUGUGAAAUGGAGUCCUACUGUCUAAGUUCAGGCCUCCCAGAAGAAUUCGACGAGGAUACCUGCUUUCUCCCUACCUUUUUGCUCUAUGCAUGGAAUGGCUUGGCCAUUCUAUUCAAUUGACUAUUUCUGUUGGAAAGUGGAGUCUAGACGUCUCUCUCGCUUGGGGCCAGCUAUCUCAGACUUGUUCUUCGUUGAUGAUUUAAUUAUCUUUAGCAAAACAGAUUUGAAGCAUGGGUAUUUAAAGAAAUAUUGGAAAAUUUUUGUAAGUUUUCUGGACAUAAAAUUAAUGCUAGAAAGACCAAUAUAUUCUUUUCUGAAA